AGUCCGGUGGUGGAAUUGGUCAGACACGCUUUAUAUUAGAUGGAAAGUGCCCAUUAAGGGUUUUGCCUGUUCGAACCCGGUCCGGGCUGCCA
rnacentral:tRNA from 1 species